AAUAGGAAUCAAGUGUGAUAUCAUGAAUUGAUGGGGGGAAGAUUAAGAAGGCUUUGUAAGACUAUAAGUUAGUUUGCUGUGAAGAGUGUGCUUAUUAAAUGCUUUCUGCAACACGAAGACUGCAGCCCUUGACUUUGAAAUCAUCUGUUUUUAGAAUCUUGAAAGAAUUGAAAUUAGUUUUCUGGCUGAUUCCCUUCCCUUCCUUCCUAGAAAAGACAACUGGCAGUGCAGAGUUUAGCAUUUAAUUUGAAAGAUAAAGUCUUUUGUGAAUUAUUUCCUGAAGUCGUGGAGGAGAUUAAACAAAAACAGAAAGCACAAGACGAACUCAGUAGCAGACCCCAGACUCUCCCCUUGCCAGACGUGGUUCCAGACGGGGAGACGCACCUCGUCCAGAACGGGAUUCAGCUGCUCAACGGGCAUGCGCCGGGGGCCGUCCCAAACCUCGCAGGGCUCCAGCAGGCCAACCGGCACCACGGACUCCUGGGUGGCGCCCUGGCGAACUUGUUUGUGAUAGU
rnacentral:lncRNA from 1 species